rnacentral:lncRNA from 1 species
CGGCACUAGUGUUGUUGUUUUGGUGCAGCAUUUGAAGCGUAUACGGUGCUUGAGAAGAAGUAGUGUAACUAGGGUGACCAGCAAUAGCAUUUGGUCUAAUUGGUGCUGAAGAAGGAUCUUGUGCCAGUCGGUUUGUGGUGUAUCCGCUACCACGAGCUGCAGGUACAUCGUGGUUGUGUUUCCCUUCAUAGGUUGUGAUUACUGCUCUCAUAUCAUGUGAUGCUCUCUCAACAUGUUUUCUCACUGGACAACCAUUGGUUGUGCACUUGUAGUAGCUCCUGUUAAGAAGAAACAUAAGAUUAUGGAAAUAAUUUAAAUAUCGGUGCACCAUAUAUAUAUUUAGGACUAGAAAACUACUUUUAAUAGAUAAAUAAUUUCUGAAAACCCUUUUAUCAAAAAAUAGUAAAUAAUUUUUUUAAAAGGAAUUGGUGUUUUUGAGAGUGAAUAAAAUAAAUAUGGAUCUAAUAGAUUGUAAACUAUUCAUUCACAUUUAAUUUUAAAACUAUAAUAUCAGUCGUGUUUAGUGCUGUUCAAUAUGGUAAAACCGAACCGUACCAAACCGAAAUAGACAAUAUGGUUUGGUUUUGGUAUAUACCAUAUAAACCGAAUGGAUAUAAUUUUAUAAAAAUCGUAGGAUUUGGAUAUGGUUUGGUAUAUAACCGAUUAAACCGAACAAAACCGAUUAAAAGUAGAAACAUAUAAAUAUGUACCUAUUUUAUAACAAUACAUGAAAAUAUAUUUGUUACAUCAGUUAAAUUUGUGUUUAUAACUAUUACCAUAAUUUUAUAGUAAUAAAGAACCUUAAUUUGUAAAACACUUGAAUUAUAAUUAAAUAACAAUACAUCGCAAUUCAGACAUCUUAUUUUCUAAGUCUUCUUUUGAUCUUUUUGCUUUAUUUUAGUCUUCACUAAAUUAAUUAAUAUGAAGAUUAUAAAGUUGAUGGACAAUAAUUAAUGAAAAAUUUUCACAAUUUUUUUUCUUAUCUGUAAACAAACAGAGUUUCGUGUUCGAUUGAAAAAUCAUGACUUUAAUGAACACUAAAUAUGGAAUAGUGGAAAAACUUUUCUUUCAUGUUUCUGUUUUGUUUCAUAUUUUUAUUUUCAAAAUUUCUAACUUUGAUUUUAGUUAUAGAUUUGAUUAUUUUAUUUGAUGGUAAAAGCAUUUUUACUUUUUUGUUCAUUUAUUUGAACAUGUAAUAUAUUUUUAAUAAAUAACUGUGUUGACAAUAUGACUCUAAAAUUCAUAUAAUAUGAUCUCAAACUAAAUAAUUAUGUUUUUUGGGAUAAAACCGAAUAAACCGAAAACCGACGGUAUAUAAACCGAGCCGAAGUAAAUAUGGAUUUAGAAUGGUAGUUAUAUUUUACUAACCGAAAUACCGAAAAGACCAAACCGAUAUCCGGAUCGAACACCCCUAGUCGUGUUGAUUUUUUUUUAUUCCCGUUUGUUUUAGAACACUCUCAAUAACCUUUAUUGUGACUGAUAUCAAAAAGCCACAAAUGUUUUAAGUUAUUACCUUGGAUUAGGGUUUCCUUUAACGACCUUUUGGCCGUACUUUCUCCAUCUGUAACCAUCAUCAAGAAUGUCUAUAUCACUCGUUGUCUGCACAACAAUCCUCGGCUCUCUCACUGUCUUGCUUCCAUUACUAUUACCACCGUUUGUUUCGCUUUCUCCUUUCCUGAAAAAAACACACACAAGAAACAAACAUUUUAAGAAACUUUCUAAUUCAAGUAAUGCUCAAAAGAGAGUGAUGGAUGAUCUUUUACCAUCUCUUUGCUUCAGGUUCACUCCCACAGUCUUCUUCUUCUCCUCUGCUCAUAACCGAUAACUCAUCGUCUCCAAGAGAACCAGAAGUAGUAUUGUUAUCAUCUUGUUGGAUCACAAAGGAAUCAGAGUGAUCACCAUGAUGAUCAAACACAGCAGAAUGAAAUGUCGACGAAGAAGAAGAUCGUUUGGUGGACUGAGGUUUAGGAUGGUUAUGGCUUCCUUUAUACACAAUCUCUGUGAUCUGACCUUCCAAAGAUGUUUCCACUUUCUUCUUCGUUGGACAGUUUGGGAAAGUACACUUAUAGUAACUCCGAGGAUUCUCACUCCCUUUCACCUGUUUCUGUCCGUACUUUCUCCAGUUGUAACCGUCAUCUCCUUUCCUUUGCUCCCGUCCAUUGUAAGAUGCAGUUUGAUGAUGAGUGUUGUUGUUUGGACGAGUUUCCUGAACACACAAAAAACAUUUUAAAAUUUGAGGAAACACACAGAUGAAAGUAAAAAGGUAUUUGAAGAUGGAGCUGUUGAGGAACAAACCUGUGACUGCAAGACAGAACUGUUUGUUGUUGUUGUUGUCGGAGCAGAAACUCCUGAUGAUUGUGUCUGAAAUGAGAAAUCAAAGAAGUUAACGUUGUUGUUGUUCUUCUUCGUCUUCUCUUCCUCGUUGAUGCUUUUCUGAUUAUUUUCAUAUGUGAGAAGAGAUCCUGUGGUUGGAGAAGCAAGAACCUACAAAUUAGAAUCAAGAAUGGUUUUAAUAUAAUCAAGAAUGAUUUUUAUUUUUUUAAAUGAUUUUUAUAUAAUCAAGAAAGGUUCUAAGUGGAGUCAAUCCCAUGUUAUAUCAAUAGUUCUGUAAUUGAAAAGAAGAAGAAAAACAGAGGAGGCUUUACGUUAGCAGAGGAGGCAACAAAAGCAGGGGAAUCAAGAAAAACAGAGGGGCUGAAACAAGUGGAAGGAGAGACAAGAGAAGGAGAGAUUGAGAUUGAAGGAGCAAAAGAUCUGAACUUUGGUGGGAUCUCAAGAUCUUCAAGAGAUGCUGCUGAUGAUCUUAUUCCGGACCAAUUAGCAGAACCAUUCAUGUUUUGUCUGGUUCUGCUAUUGUCCAUAGUAAGAAGAGAAGAAGCAGCCAUACAGAAAGGGGAAGUGUUUUUGUUUUAUGAAGACCGGUUCAAGAUAUUUAUAGAAAGUUGGAGACCUUGGAGAAGGGGGCAAAGAAGAAAGAAAAAAAGAAGAGAUGUGAUGGUUCUCGAAAUGUUUUUGUGUUUUGUUAGUUAUGUCUGUAUAUAUAAAACAUAUUGCACGAUCUGAUUGGUUAGUUUUGUAUUUUUGAUGGCAUAAAUGAAGGAAAAAUGAAGAAAAAAAUGUAGUUUCUGAGAAGGUGAUAAAAAGUUUGACCGUUGAAAAAAUUAGAAGAUGGAGAAGAAGAGGAGGAGAGGAGAUGGUCAGACCAUGUGUCCUUGACUUUGAACGAGGCGGGCUUACGUCAGCUUCAUGCUUUCGCCAUCCUUUGGAUGCCUUUGUUACGGCCACGUGUAGUUUCUUGCGGUUCGGUUCAUUUGGAUAAAAAAUACGAUUUUCCAUUAGGUUAGGUCGUCUCUUUUCUUUAAAGCACAUGAAUAAAGAUUAGGAGUGGGUUAAUUAGCAAAACCUCCUAAUUAAAGUUGUUAUUAAAUCCAUGCGCGGCUAUUUGGUUUCAAUCUAUUUGUUUACUCAUGUGCGUGUUACUUUAUUACACGCGUGUAACCUUCGCAACCUACACGUACAAAAGACGUGGCAUUGUUUGUUGCUUCCAGAAUCGCUUUGUAGUUAAAAAGAAUCUCUUGCACAUGAAAGCAAGUGAGAUACACACAUCUCGUUGCGUAGCUAGCUUGCAACAUCUCUCUGUUUAAACGCAGCGUUUUAACGUCCCGAUGCAAGAGGCUGACACAUCGCGACCACGGCCGUCGAAGUCUCUGAUGAAUCGAAUGAAGACGAGCUGUUUAUCCAUGGCAGUGACGUUUAAGGAGGGGCUUAGCUACGUCAAAGCCUUUUUUGUCGGCCAGGUACGUUUUCAAAAUUGUCAUUUAUCAUUCGUUAAGUUUUCUUGAGCUUCCGUGUAGUGUGUGGUUUAAGCCGCGAGAAGAUAUGAUAAAGAGAUUGAUCUUAGGAAUAUCCUGUCCGGUUUUAACACGGUUCAGAGACUCAUGGUAUUGUCUUGAAUCAUGAUCACAUGACGCGUUUUGGGUGGCUUAUGUAAUACUUAAUGAACUAAGUACUUCAUAUUAUUAUCUCUCUUUUUAUUAGCCAUCAAAUACUUAUGUGCAUUUACUGACUUGCAUCCGCGUUGCUAUCUAACAAGUUGUACAUAUAGAAGCUUCAAAUAGUUUCAUAUUGUUAUCGUCAAAUACUAGAAAAUGUUCAAGACUUCUUAUUUUAAGUUUUGAGUAAUAUAUAUUAAUUCAUGACAUUUUUGGUUUGAAAGACAAAGAGGUUGACGGCCAAGAACGAGAAAGAAGCAACGGAUGCUCAUCUAACAGAGACAAAAAUGCAAGUUGACGCAACCGAUGAAGCAGAGAACGCCAAGAAAAGGCUUCAUCAAUCUUCUUAAUGUUUUUUUUUUGUAAUUAAUUGUGUUUUUACUAAUUCUAAGGGAAUGUUCUUAACUCUAAGAAGAAGAAAUUAAAAAGCAAAUCUUAUUGAUAUUGAUUAUCAUUGUUUGAGAAAUAGUAUGACGUAUACCACACUAUUUAUUCAUGUUUCUCCACGAGAAGGAAGUAUAAACUUGAACAAACAUUUGCUCAAUAAAGGAAUCUUCUCAAAGUGAAAGAUAUGGUUACGAAUUCGGUAGAGAUGAACUGUAUAGAUUAAUCCUGAUAACGUAACCGUGGAGAAUGAGAUGAUCGUCAAUAUCCAGAAAUCCUGAAAAUUACAAUCACAUUAUGACCUCAAACGCAAAUUAUGUGUUUCUAUUGGCGUUUACAUUAUGGCGCAAACAACUGAAGCAUAAUAAAACGGGUUUGAUAACAACUAUAGUCUAUAUUAAUUCUUAGAAUGCAAGUGGAAACGUUGUUACCUUUGGAUUGGAUACAAUGAUACCUAGUACGUAUGCCAUCAAGUCAAGAGCCGAUUGCAAAGAGUUUUGGACUCCUCCAACCACACAACGGUCGGAUUCUGAAACUUGAUCCUAUUUUUAAGACCAAACAUUAUACCAAAAUGUUAUUACAACUUUGAAUAUAACCAUAAAACCGAAAUAAAAAUGUUUUGACGUACUUGCAUUUGCUGGAUGACGGCAAGAUCAAACAUCCACAAGCCAAGCCUUGAAGCAGCAACUCCACCCAUUAGCAUGUAAGAUGCUAUGUUGCCCUUUUUAACCCAAAUCGACCCAACGCAUACCAAAAGGCAGCUCCACUGCAAGAACAAGAAUCCUACUUUUGUGACUUUUUUUUCUCAUGUCCCAUAACAUGGUCAGGUUCCACUAGAUUCAAAUAGAAUGCAUUUGAAAAAUAAGAUAUCUAAGGAAGAAUGACAAGAUGAAUUGUUAUAACCAAUCAGAUGAACCAAAAUGUGGUACAUAAUAUAUAUAUAACUUAUAGACUUUAUAAUAUCACAUUAAUUAUUUUUGUUAAUUAUUUCUAUUAUAAAGAGCACAUACAUUUUUAUAGUACACCAUGAGAAUCUAAAACCUAAAUGCAAAUAUGUUAUAAUUUCAUGUGAUUGACAAUCUAAACAUUACUCUUUCAAAUGGGUUAGAAGUUUCAAAUUAAUAAUACACCUGAGACCAGAGGGACCAGAGGCCAGUUCUCAGCGUUGAGAUACGGCUUUGCAUUAGAGGAUAGACGACUGUAGCCGCUAGUCCAACCGUGGCACUUAUUCCUCUGCCUAUACCGAUGAUAUAUGUAGGUAUCCCUUCCCACUGCAAUGUAGCCGUCAUCAAUGUUCCAAAGCUGUAUCAAGGCAGUAAAGAGAUCCCAUAAACCCUUGAAACUCAAAAACAUUUUACUUGACAUCCACAUGUGAACAAGUCCAAAACACAAAGAGAAACGUAACCUGAGGACCGUGAAGAACAAGAGAGCUAGUGAAACCCCUGGGAGUACAACUUCUUGUUUGAUAUAAAUUCUCCACGCGCCAACAAAAGAGGACAUGGAUAUCCUAUCAAGAAGCUUCAGCAUUCCGGUUCUACGAGGAGGGUUUCCUUCCUCAGUCCCCGGAACAAUAGAGACAGAAACAUGUGCAUCUGUUCCUUCUACUGGCCUUGUUAUGGAACGCAAGAUCCGUCUCUCAUUGCUUUGUGCCAUCGCAGGAACACCACUAUACACAGAUAUGAAGAGCCAAUACUCAACCCAAGCGGUUAUAGUGGCCCAAAAUGCAAAAGUGAUGGCUGAUGCCUUCAGUGAGACAAAGCUAAUGAUGAGACCGGUGAUUACUGGAGACAAUAGCUUUGAGCUCAAAUCAAUGCCUCGAAUGACAGAGUUCAUUCUUGUCAAUACCGCUGGUGGAUAACCUUCCGACAUAACCACAGCCCUGUUUGGUAGUCAAAAGAGCAAAAUAAAAUUUGCGUAUGCAUAAAUCAUGUGAAAAAACAUUACCAGUCUCGUUCGAUCAAAAUGGUGCCACCAAGUGUGGAAAGCACACCAAUGGCCCCAGCAACAUUUGUCAACGCAACCAAGGUUGCAAAGACCGGGAUGUUCCGGGGUUUAAGAUCGUAAUCUAGUAGCAACUUGAUGACUGCACCACCAGCAAUGACGUAGGAGAGGUUCUGACAUAAGAGCCAGAGUCUAAGAACUUUAACGUAGUCCAUUCCCUCGAUCCAUUGUCCCACAAUGGGGCCAAAGAUCGCAGAAGAACCAGACUCUAUCGCACCGUAUAUGGCCGCAAGAAGCAGAGAGUUUGGCCACAAGUAGAUCAUAUACAAAGCAACUGAGAAUUCCCAAGUUCUGCAUCAGAAGAAGAAACUCAUACUUACCAAAAUUGAAGUGUAUCCACCAUAUUCAAAUGAUCUUACAUUAUAAGGUGUUUUUUUNNNNNNNNNNNNNNNNNNNNNNNNNNNNNNNNNNNNNNNNNNNNNNCCCCCCAAUCAUGAGUAUGCAGGAAAGGAGCUUAAGUGUUGGGGCAUGCCGCUAUGUAGAUGAGGUGAUAUUUGGUGCUCCAUGGGAAGUGUCAAAAAAUACGGUGAGCUUCUCUGCUCUCUAAUUAAUAAUAUACCCAAAUGGCUUUCACGAAAAGCUAGUUUUAACAAUGAUUUGGGUAUUGCAGAUCACGAUCUUUGGCAUAUCAUUGGUGGUUCAUGGGACAGUAGCCGAGAGCGACAAUUUUCAAAGGGUAAAACUAGAUUCAGAUAUGAGCAAGUGUAUAUAGAGACAAUAGAGCUGCGUUGCGUUUUCUAAGAAUAUGGUUGAUGAUUUGACAGAAGGAAGAGAUGCAGUACCAAUUAGCAUGGGCAUAUUCCAAAUCCUAGAAAGCCCUCUUAAUAUCACAACUUCCACCAUAAUGGGGAGGAUUGUAGCGAACCAUGAAGCUUAUCAGGCAAGUUGCUAUUCUUCUUGUUGUUGGUAUACUUCACCAAUGUCUGACACAAAAUCUUUCGUAUUGUAUAGAAACGUAAUUUGAAAAAGGAAGCUAGUGAUGACAAGCAGAUGGAAAAGGAAGCUAGUGAUGAGAAGCAUAAGGGGACUGAUAAGAAUCAAAACACGGAGCGUACCGCAUCCUAUCUCAAGAACUCUAGCGUUGGGUUUUAACCGUGAUGCUUCAGCUAAGAACUCGAACACGUCGCGCCCACCAGCCCAAGGCUCACCGUAGUUGCUGUGAUGCUCCUCACUUGUGGAGGUUGCUAGGCAGUUGAAUCUGAGGAUUGCGAAGAAGAAGGAGAGAGCGGUGAAGCUGGAAGGAUCGCAGGGAGUGGCGAACAUCGUUGUGAAGAUUCGCAGAUUAAUGGAUGAGGGGCUGUUCGUUUCACCAUUUGUCAUCUUCAUCCAAAUGAUUCAUUUGUAUGAUCUAUUGAAAUGAUCCAUUCAGAUUUUUUGUGAUUGUUUGUUUGUCCAUCCACAUAGUUCAUCUAGAUGAAUCAUCUAAAUAAAUUUUAUGUUUGUUUCUUUAUUUUCAUUUCCAUUCAAAUGAAUUUAGUAAACAAAUUACCAAAAUACCCUUGUGUUGAUUUAAUCAUAUGUUUGAUAUUAAUUUUAACUAUAUUACAUUUAAUUAUUUAGUUUAAUAUAUUUACAUUAGAAUUAUUUCAAAAUCAACGAGUUUUCUUUUUGCGGUUUGGGUGGAAAAACAAGAUUUUUCGGUUUUAGCGAGAAAACACAUUUUUCUGUUUUGGUGGAAAACAAGAUUUUUUUGUUCUGGCGGAAAAACGAGAUUUUUCGGUUUUGGCAGGAAAAUACAAAUUUUCGAGUUUUGGCGAGAAAACAAGUUUUUGCGGUUUUGCGGGAAAACACGUUUUUGCGGUUUUGGAGUGAACCACAUUUUUGUGAUUUUGGCGGGAAAACGUAUUUUUGCAAUUUUGGCGGGAAAACGCGUUUUUGCGGUUUUGGCGCGAAAACACGUUUUUGCGAUUUUGGCGGGAAAACGUGCUUUUGCAGUUUUGGCAGGAAAACACGUUUUUGCGGGAACACAUUUUUACAGUUUUCGCGGGAAAACGAGAUUUUUCGGUUUUGGCGGGAAAAUACCAAUUUUUCGUUUUGGCGAGAAACCAUGGUUUUUGGUUUUGGCAGGAAAACAAGUGUUUUUGGUUUUGGCGGAAAAACACGUUUUGCGACUUUGGCGGGAAAACAUGUUUUUUUGUGUGUUUUGGCUGAAAAAUGUAUUUUGGGGUGUUGGCGUGAAAACAUUUUUUGUGAUUUUGGCAUGAAAACAUGUUUUUCGGUUUUUGCGGGAAAACACGUUUUUGCAAUUUUGAUGGGAAAAACAUUUUUUUGCAAUUUUAGCGGGAAAAUGCGUUUUGGGGUUUUGGCGUGAAAAAAUAGUUUCUAGCACGGGAAAAAGUAUUUUUGUAGUUUUCUUAGUUUUCAUUUGUGACAAAAAUGAUAUUAUGUUUAUGUUUGUAAUUUAUGAAUUACAUUAGGGGCAUAAUAGACAUUAUACCAUUUUAAUUGAACCAUCUCCAUUCAAAUGAUCCAAAUUGGUUCAGCUGAAUGGACUUUAAAAUUAAGCCUAAAUUUUCAAAAGUCAUCCGAAUGAUCCAUCUGAAUGAGUUGCACUUUUAGUGCCUAAACAAACAAAACUCUCAUUUUUAUCCAAAUGGACCAUCCAGAUGGAGAAACAAACAGGCCCUGAAUUGGUGAUGGUGGAGAUAGAAGAACAAGCAGAGAGACGUGGGCUUAGCUUGGGUCGAUGAGCUCAGGCGAAAGCUACGUCGUAUCAUUAACCAACCGGUUAAUAGGGGUUCGUAAAAUUGUUUCAACACUAAAACCAAUUUUACUCAGAAUUUUCAAAUGAACAAUACAACCGGUUUAGUUGAGGAUUCGAGAAGCACUAUAGUGAACCAGUUCGGUUUACAGUGGAGCAGAGAGAGUAAUGGGAAGAUUGGCCUCUCUCUGUAUAUAAAAAACAAGAAAAAGAAAAUGAAGAAUACUAGCCGGAAUUACAUUUUUUGUUUCUUUUUAUUUUACAAAAGUAUAUUUUUAACAUAAUACAAAAUUAUUUGCUACAUUCAUUGGAGAGAAUUUGAAUAAGACUCUGAUUUUUACGUGUAUGCGUGAUCUAUGUGUGUUUUGCAAACUUGUGCUUUUGUUUUUGCUAAGGACCAUGCCAACCGUUUGUAAUAUUCAAGACUCUGAUUUAUAUUUGUUGAUGAUUUUUUUUUUUUUGAAAUCGGAAGAACCAUUUGUGUAUGUUAUAUGUAUUUUACUAUUUUGAAGCUAUGCAAGUUUCUUUGCAACAUUGAACUAUCUAACAAACUGCAAAAGUAUUGGCAUAUAUUCUUAUGAAACACAAGAUUAGUGGUAAUAUAUAUGCAUAGUAAAUUACUUAAACAAAACAAACACAUUGCGUGUUAAUGUCGAUUCUUUUAUGUGUGCAUAUAUAGCUGUAUAUGUUCUUGUUUGAUACAUUGUACGAAGUGAAUAUUGAUUGGCUUUAUUCCAUUUAACUAGUUGUAUGGUACAAAAGAACUAAAGAUAUUAUUACAUUACAGGCGUGUGAAAGCCCUCGCAUGAGCCACUAAAAAAACAAAUGAAAUAAUUUUCUCUAUGGACUAUAUAGACUAUAUAGUCUUAGUAUCUGCAGGACCACUAGUAAGUAGUUAAACCCUUUUCUGGCAGAAAUGUACAGAAUGAAAAACGAAUUUUCACAUCUUCAAGACAAAAACGAAUCAAAGAAAGAGGAAGAAUCAUCGUUCGGUUCUUCUUUUGCUCUAGAGAAACCACCACCGAGGAAGUUAUUAUUGUUCGUAGCGUAACCAAAAGACCCGGCACUAGUGUUGUUGUUUUGGUGCAGCAUUUGAAGCGUAUACGGUGCUUGAGAAGAAGUAGUGUAACUAGGGUGACCAGCAAUAGCAUUUGGUCUAAUUGGUGCUGAAGAAGGAUCUUGUGCCAGUCGGUUUGUGGUGUAUCCGCUACCACGAGCUGCAGGUACAUCGUGGUUGUGUUUCCCUUCAUAGGUUGUGAUUACUGCUCUCAUAUCAUGUGAU